CUCGACCACAUCUAGCCGAAUCGACACGUACAACAUUUGUUGAUCAAAUCAAAAGUUUAAUAAACCGUCAAUCAGGAUGUCAAGACAAGAGCAACUAAAGAGUACAAGGUCCUACAUCUGGUACACAGGCCAUGUUCUUGGAACAGGAGCUACCUCUAAUGUGUAUAUUGGUAGACACAAGAAAACGGGAGAACAAGUAGCUGUAAAAACGUUCAACAGUGCAUCAUUUUCUCGACCACAUGAAGUCCAAGUACGGGAACUAGAUGUAAUUAGAAAACUAAAGCACAAGAAUAUUGUGGACUUGUUAGCGAUUGAAGAUGACCAGAUCACCAAACAACCUGUUAUCAUUAUGGAACUGUGUAUGGGAGGAUCCCUGUACAGCAUACUGGAGGAACCCCAGAAUAUCUUUGGACUGAAAGAGGAAGAGUUCCUGAUAGUUUUGAGGGAUGUCACCUCUGGAAUGAAAUACCUACGGGAAACUAAUAUUGUUCAUCGGGACCUGAAGCCAGGAAAUAUAAUGAGAGUUAUCGCAGAGGAUAACACAUCUAUUUAUAAGUUGGCAGAUUUUGGCGCAGCUAGAGAACUUCAAGAAGGAGGAGAGUUCAUGUCUCUCUAUGGGACAGAAGAAUAUUUGCAUCCAGACUUGUACCAGAGGGCAGUACUGAAAGUGGCAAAUCGAGGCAGGUAUUCUGCUAAGAUUGAUUUGUGGUCAGUUGGAGUGACCUUCUACCAUGUUGCAACUGGACAAUUACCAUUCAGGCCUUAUGGUGGCCGAAAAAAUAGAGAAACAAUGAUUUUUCUGACUACAAAGAAACCGAAUGGCGUGAUCAGCGGUGUCCAACAUGAAUCACCAAAUGGAAAGAUUGAUUGGUCCAGCCAACUCCCGGAAACAUGUCAUUUACCAAGACCUCUUAAGAGGCAAGUCCGACUGUUGCUUGCUGGGUUGUUGGAAUGUGAACUGGAUAAAAUGUUGUCGUUCAAUGAUUACUUCCACAUGGUCCAGGAAAUUCUUAAUCUUCAGAAGGUACAUGUGUUCAAUGCGGUCACUGCGCAAACAGUCAACAUCUACAUUCAUCCAGGGAGUGGAUGGGACAAGUUUACGAAAAGUGUUGAGGAGGAGACGCACAUUUCAACAGAACAGCAACUUUUGUGUUUCAAAGAUCAGAUCCUAGAUGUGAAUACUAUCUCUAUGGAUAACAGGAACUAUCCAGAGACCACGGCUCAGAAUCCAAUUAUCUUGCUUAGAAAGGACCUGAAGAAGUUUCCAUCACCCAUUCCACCUGAUAAACCCAAACUUCCCAAGAUCGCGACACCAUACAGCCUUGAAAAUGAUGCUCCUCUUGCAAAGAUUUGUUGCGGUUCAAUGUACUAUUACUUGACAAUUGUGCAGAGCCUCCUUUUGAUGCAAGAACAGAUGCGAUUAGCUGUAAACUGCUUCUGUGGGAUCUUGCAAAAUAAAAUCAAAGAGAGCCAGGUCAACCUUGAGACACUGAAGACCCACAAAGUAUAUAUUGAAGAAAAUUGUAAGUGGUUGAUGUCAAAUUUGGAUAUUGAUCUCCUACAAAUUAUUCCUGAUCAUUUGAAAGAUGAAAUCAAUGAAGAGUUGGAGAUGAGAGCCGCCUUACUGAAGGAGCAGCUGAUGCUAAUGCAGCAAGAAUACAAUCAAGAGAUAUUGGUAAAUUCAGUGCAUCCACUCUUUGACGAGUUUCAUAAACUCUUCAGAAAAAUCAUCCAGGAUAAUGUCUUGGAAGUUUCAUAUGAUGACCAGCAGAAGUGCCAGCCACAUGAACAUUGUUAUAAUAGAUUUGAAGUGCUGGUCAAAGGCACAAAAACAAUUUCGGAUCAAUUUCGGGAUGAUAAACGUGCCAAGCGUCUCGCUUACAAUGAGGAACAAAUACACAAAAUGGACAAACAAAAAUUGAGUAUGCAGUGCACACAGGGAAUGAGCUUACUCAACGAACAUUGUGAAUUAAAGUGGAGAGAGCAACACAACAGGCUUGGCAGCUGGUACACGAGAGCCUUUUUUGAGUUUCAGUCAGUCAUGAUCUUACUGCAGAAUACCGAAAACACAAUUAGAAUAUAUUGCGUUUUCAGAGAUCGUCUUGAUAAGCUCAAACGUCAACAUGAUAAAAUAAGUGACGAUGUCAAACAAGUGCUGAGGAAAGCUUUUCAGAAGAAGGACACCCUCUAUUUAAAAGGCAAAGAGCCUAGUCAAGCUAGGUCAAUGAUGAGCCCGACUUUCAUCCAUACCAGUCAGGAAAGAAUCAAAAGGAAAAAACAUGCACUUGUUACUAAAGACCAGUUUAAUCAGGGACAAUACAUCAUGACAACAAGAUCUUUAUGCAGAUGGUUACCAGUACAUUUUACAGUCAGCGAGCGGUCAGGGAAAAUUCCCUCAUUAAACACGCAUGGACCUCCGUCGCCAGUCAAAAAAAAAUUACUCUGCUGAUCCAAACAUUUUGUUGCCAAUUCCUAACAUUGUGGACAUGGUCUGGAAACACAGAUCUAUCCUUGAAUUCUAUUCCGGGACCCUAACCAAGACUUUAGCUGACCCCUUGGUUCCCGCCCCCUGCCAGAACUAUUGAACCCAAUGUCAGAAAAUUCCUGGAGCCACCACUGUCUACAGUAUUGCAAAUGAAUUAAUUGGAGAAAAAAAGAAAGUAACAAAUUGGCUGCGACAAACGAAG
rnacentral:misc_RNA from 1 species